ensembl:lncRNA
AUGAGGAGUCCGCCAGAAGUUUGCUGUCAAGAUCGAGGAGGUUGUUCAGUUCAGCUAUUUUAGUGCGCAGGGGGAAGCCAAAUUAUGUUCCUGAGGUUGAAGUGGUCUGUCACCCCUUCACAGAUCAUCACACAAUGUGCUGUUGUAAGACAUGUUGCUGAAAGUGAAAUACCUCAAUGUAAAGAAGUACAUUAAAUUGCACGCAGGAUUCACUUAUCUAGAAUUCAUCAGUGAAGCCAAAACCAAGUUUGGACUUCCGGAUGCUGCUGACCUUGAUAUUUUCGAUGAAACUGACACAGCUGUCGAAGAAGACAUUUUUCUGGAGUUACUGGAGGCCCAACCAGACCUAUGCCUGACAAUACGUGAAAAGAUUUCAGAUG